GCCUUGGAGACAGAGCUCGGCCUCGGCCUCCCGGCCUAGUACUCCCCUGCUCCUCCCCACUGCCAAACACUUAUAAAGAUCACAAGCUAAAUAAUUCUGAAAAGAAUUGCCCCAAACAUUAAACUCAUUUUUUUCUUCUUGCCUUGUCUUUAUUCUUCAGAGGUCCUGAGUUUCCUCAAGGGCAUUCUAAUCCAUGAGUGUUCAGAGAGAGCAGGUGGGCUCCCCUACCCGGCGCCUUCCGACCAGCAUCUGGAAAAGGAUAGUCAGAAACGCAGUGAAAAUUACGCCUGCAACCCUGGCAGGCAGGGAAGCACUUAAUAACUUACGUGGGUGUCAGGGCAAGGGAGCCGUCCGCAGACCAGAGUUGUGAUGGACCGUUCUCCACCAUGUGAUGUUCAUUUUCUCCACUGAGAUUAAAAAAGAAGAGGAAAGGAAAGGAAAGUGCACAACCUCCUUGAAAAGACAGCUCCUCCUGCCGAAAAUGUGUUGCAGACUCGGUCAGUCAGGUGGACUUAAUUGGAAGGCACUUUCUUUUUGAUGGAAAAAGGAGAAAGAUUUGUAAAAUUGAACCGAUGUUAACACACUCGCAUCCCACAAGGAGCUGAGUUUUGAUCUGCUUCAUGCUGAGAGAGCGGGGAGACCAGAGUGUGCCUCAGACUUUCUAAGCUCAGCUACCUGCAGAAAGAACGUGGAAGCUCUGAAAAAGUCACAACCAGAGUUUACGUCCAGCCUCACUCUUCAUGACCUGGCAUUUACUCGUAACAGUGGACUUUACACACCACCCACAGACCCUGUGAAGCUGGAAGAAGCCACUGACAUUUUGUCCGUCCUCAAAUUUCAGUGUCAUGAGCACACACAGAAUACCUGCCCACUGCGAGGUACGACAGGAAAUGCUGGUGACUCAAAGACCAGGGGCUUGGUCUCUUCUGGGCACCUCUUCCCAUUCAUGUUUCUCCUCUUCACUCCUGAUUCCUUUGCAUUCUCCCUUGCAAUUGCUUUCCAGUUAUUUCUUGAUGCAACUUUUUUUCUCAAGCUAAUUUUCAUGGGACACUAUGGACAUCUUUCGGCCUCACUGGAAUUACUCAAGACGUAGAGCAGGGGAGAUAAUCUAGGUUUGUGCUACUGGAAUCUUUGAGUAAAUUCUGCCAGAUUCAUCAUGUCUCCUAGGAGCAAAAGGUAAGACCACCUAGUAAUAGAUGAAUAAGCAAACAAACAAAA
rnacentral:lncRNA from 1 species